rnacentral:lncRNA from 1 species
GUCAAAUAAAUGAGGGCGACCCACAGUCUGCUGAUAGAUAGAUGGACUGGCACAAUUCCCCCGGACUCGGGCUGAUAUCUUUAAAUUUGGUACCAUAGGAGUAUGAGCAUGUCGACAUCCAAGCAUGUGCCCUGUAUCGCUGAAGGAGAUCAAGGAAUACUUCCGCUGGGAGAGAGAUAUACCAUGCGAGAACCGAGCAAACCGCAUACCGAAGGAAGUAACGCAGAGGGACCCAAAUCCUUAAUAUCAAACGCUUUCCGGAGCCCACUUUUACCUGAACUAUGCCAGAAGCUGUCGUCUCCCGUGAUAAUAAUAUCAUCACCUAACUGAGAUAAUAUACACCGACCCCUGAGACUUGCUACGAAUAAUCAAUAUGAUCUGAGUGGCCAAACCUGCGAAAAAUCCAUAGACAAGACACCUCACUGAAGCGGUGGAACCAAGCUCUCGAGGAGAUUGCUUAAGGGCCAUAGAUAGAUUUUCGAAGUCGACAAACCCUUCCUCAAUACUCCCCCUCCCCCUCAUACUCCCCCUGAGGCCCGCCCGAAAACCUGGAGGUGGAUCCAUAUUAUAGUCUCUGAAGAUCACCAUUAAGAAGCAUUCUUUGACAUCUAAUUGGUGACGAGGCCACAGUGAGAAGCAAGCUAAGGGAAAUCAGAAGGCGAACUGGGUUUAAUUUGGCAACUGGGGCCAAAACGUCGUCACCAAAAUCCUUAGUACCCGGAAUCUGAGUAAAACCCUGAGCAACAAGACGAGCCUUAUAUCGAUCAACCGAUCCAUCCGCCAAAUACUUGACACUAAACACCCCUUUACACCCAUAGUGGCGCUCUCCUUCGUAAAGCAAUAGUCCAUAUCUGAUUUCGCUGAAGUGCGCUCCAUCUCCGCCUUCAUAGCAACACCCACAAGGAUUGUGGAGUUCUUCAUGGACUGACGAGGAUGGAAAUCGAAUCCACUUGACUAAGAAAAGAUUUAUAGAAUCUUAAAGACCUUGAUAAGACAUAUUAUGGGCAUAGGAUAUUAUUACUUUUGAGAAAAAGAAAGCAGGACGUGGGGACGACCCGACACUUGUGGGAUACCGAGGUGGGGGAAUAUCCAGAAACAAAGGUAAAGACAUAAUACCUGACUCCGAUAGAAGAUGCUGGCAAGGGAACCUGAGCGCGGGACGGGGGUCCUGAGAGGGCGAUUGGGGACAGGGAUCCAUUUGGUGUAGGAGUAGGUUAAGUAGGCUCAAGUAUAGGUAAGAGGACCUAGGAGGUAUGGGUUCAUCUUUCGCAAGUAUACCUCAGACCCAUGGAUUUCGAUUAAAAUUAAAAUAAAAUGGAAUCAGUUUCCAAAACGUGACAUCUAGAACGAGUGAAAUAUGGCCGCGUUGACAGGAUCAUAAAACACCUAUAUCCCUUGGACAUCAGGAAUACCCGAGGAAGAUACGAACGACGGCCUUAUAUCACACGUUUUUGGUACGAGUGGCCUUUUAUUUUGAAACAAAACACGUGCAACCAAAAUACACAGGAAUAAUGGAAAUAGGGUACUAGCAGCUGAAGGUAUGGAGAGAUCCUUGCCUUUAGAACCCGACUGGGAGUUUCGAUUGAUAGUGUAGGUGUCGGUGAGAACUGCCGUGUGCCAAAAUACUUAGGUACACCCCUACCCCGGAAGAGACACCGGACCACUGCAUAUAUGACGAUUUUUAACGUUCCGCUAAGUCCCAUACCCCAUUCUGCUCAAGUGUAUAAGGGGGGGACAUGUACAUGUAAGUUUUCUGGAGUAAUACCACAUUUACUUAAGUUCCGCACGAAACUUCUUCGUGGGAAAUUAAAAAAAAUAACCCUCUCGACCAUUAUCUCCCGAGAUGUUUUACGUACAACCGUAUUAUACUGGGUUUGAAUCAUUUUGUGAGGAAGUGGUAAGUGAGAAAAGACCUCAGAUUUAUGAUGCAUAAGGUAGACCCAGUACACCGCGUUUAAUCAUCGAUGAAGGUUACAUAAUAUCGAUGUUGAGAGAGAGCAGUAACUGGUGAAGCCCCCAUACAUCAGAAGGAAUACGGAUCAAAACACUGGUGCACAAUAAUCAGCAUACGAGAAUAAGAGACGAGUAUGCUUCGAAACUCACAAACAUCACAUUGGAAAAUUAAAAUUUUGACAUGCUUUUUGACCGAGGGAAACAACCAACAUAAAUACGGAAGUUAGCAUGCCCUAAACGGUCAAUGGGGCCACAACUCUAAAGGUUUGAAACGAAAAGACCAACGACUUUAAAACAGAAGGGACUUAAAACGAUGAACUCUAACAUUGGGAUGAGAGAAACCUGAAAGGCUAGAUGACACGCACUAGAUUGUAAAGAUCCCCAAGUAGUAUAGUCCAAUCGCGGCUCAUACCCCCUGCCAAAAAUCUUCUUCGAAUUCAGGUCUGUUAAAGACACGAGAUGUAAGAAAAAACACAGCCAAUUAAGCUCUGUUGCAAGACUGACUAACAGAAAGUAGAUUAUAGGCAAAAGUGGUCCAUAAUAACGA